UACGUAGGUGGCAAGCGUUGUCCGGAUUUACUGGGCGUAAAGCGCGUGUAGGCGGCUUGGCAAGUCGGAUGUGAAAGCCCACGGCUCAACCGUGGAAGCGCAUCCGAAACGGCCUCGCUCGAGUCUCGGAGAGGAAGGUGGAAUGCUUGGUGUAGAGGUGAAAUUCGUAGAUAUCAAGCAGAACACCUGCGGCGAAGGCGGCCUUCUGGACGAUGACUGACGCUGAGACGCGAAAGCGUGGGGAGCAAACAGG
rnacentral:rRNA from 1 species